CUUUCUGCCGCGGUCGCCGCCAUGGGUCGGUGCUGUCAGUGGAGAUUCGGGCGACCCCAGCGUUGGCUUUUGGGCUGGGACGGGGAAGGAUGAGACGCCACCGUGGAAGCAGCUGAAGUGCUGGGAGAUGAGACCCGAGACCCGACCGCGCUGAGCCCCCGGGACCGCAGAGCAUCUGGAGAAGAUGUUGGAGCCUUCCGUCCCCCAGGAAGGUGUGCUUCUCAAGACGUGAUACCACGUGAUAGGAAAUGAAUUACAGAGCAGUGUCAUCACUAGCAGCCUACUGGCCAUAAACAACCCUUGAAAGAUUUGGAGAGAAGCCUGCAUGUGGUUGGCAGUGGAUGCCCUUCCGAUGAGAUCUUGAAGACUUUGCUUUGAGUGAUAUUGUAUGGUUUCCAGUGGGUUUUGUGAAAUUUGUUGCCAGUAGUUUAGCAGAAAUGUUUUUAGAAUAGUGGUGUUUGACCAUAUAAUGUUACUGUAAACAUUCUACCCAAAGGUUUAAUUUUAGCCUACCCUGAAAAUGAAGGAAAGCUGAAGUUGUAGUCAGCAACACUGAUGGCAGCCUCAGUCAAGUCAUUCAGACUUGGAGGCCGGAUAACGUUUGGAGCUGAAAAGGGAAGAAUGACCUAUGGUAUUGUUUAAUUGUAAAGAGUUCUAACAGAACGCUCAGUUUCUCAGAAUGUUGCUAAGCUGUUCUGAUCAACUAAACGAACCAUGCAGAGUUCAAUGUUGCUGUUAAUUAAAUUUCUUCUCUGGGUGUAGCAUACAGCAACUGAAGGCAUUGAUUGUAUUAAGCUCAUUUUAAUUAAAAUCUUUAGAAAA